UACGGAGGGUGCGAGCGUUGUCCGGAAUUACUGGGCGUAAAGGGCGCGCAGGCGGCUGCUCAAGUCAGGCGUGAAAGGCCUGGGCUCAACCCGGGAAUUGCGCUUGAGACUGGGCUGGCUUGAGUGCGGGAGAGGAUGGUGGAAUUCCCAGUGUAGAGGUGAAAUUCGUAGAGAUGUGGAGGAACACCGGUGGCGAAGGCGGCAUCCUGGACCGGCAUUGACGCUGAGGCGCGGAAAGCCAGGGGGGCAAACGG
rnacentral:rRNA from 1 species